CUCCCGCGACACGUCACCGCCGCGUUUUCCGGCUUCGCCUGCGGCAGCCGCGAUAAAUUUCUUUUUUUAUCAAGAGACACAGUAGUGCCUCGCGUCUAGUUCAAGCGCAACGAAGUUGCGCCCGAACGGCACGAAGUACACCGUGCUUAUAUUAUUACGCGAAACUGCGAGUUCAAACGAGGUGAGAUAUUCAUAUUUCAGCAAUGGCUGAACCGAGCGAGGUUUUUUUAGUCCCAAUCGAUUCGGCCUUAAAAAAUAGGAAGCAAAAUGUUCUUAUGAUUUUUGUGUACGUUGUCUCUAAGUGGAAGUAUUUUAAGAUAAAGUCCGAAUCACGGAAAAUUUCGAUUCAGUAAGAAAGUAAGUAAGAAACGUCGGACGCACAGGAGUGGGGAUAUGCGUGCAUCUCGUUUUUCCGACACCAGAGGCGCUACGAGAGCGCUGAAGAAGCAGACAGCAGCGAAUGCGAGCGAGUAAGCGAGAGAUAUGCUAGAAUACAGUAUUUGUAAUCAGUGACUCGCCGUUUCUCGGCCCGACGCAUGUAUAUCCUGCGAAGCGAAAGAGCUCUCUCGCUCUUUCGGCGUUUCCAACGGAGACAGUUUGGUAACGCAUUCCGCGAACGAUUAACAGGUCUGUUCUUUUCCGUUGAACUGUAGGCUGCACUUUUUGUCGUUUGGCUGAAAGAAGCGCGCAGCCCGCUGCUGAGGGCUAGCACUGGCUCGGCUCAAAAGAACAAACCUAAUUAACGGCGUGAGCUUCACUUGGCCUACCACAAAACUCUGGAACGUCGUUAACCCUUUGUGUGGCACAUAUUUUCUACCUGAUAGAUUUCUCUUCAUGAAACAAUGCGAUGUAUGGCGCAAGAGCACAAAUCAAGAUGACAUAAAUAUUAAGCUUGUUUCGUUUGUCUACUGGACAAGGAAUCUUUGUGUGUGUGUGUGUGCGCGUACAUAUGUGUGUUCUUUUCUGCUUCGACACCAUGUCGCAUUCGACGCAUGUUAUGCGUUUCAUUCUAAAGAUAAAAAGCACAACCCUGUUCAUCUAAGAACAGAGACCUAUUGUACGUUUCAUGAAAUUAAAACAUGGAAAUAUAAUACUUUCAGACAACAUAACGUCUAAAACAUGUCUUAGAGAUAUUCUAAAACAAGAUAUUUAUUUCUCAGUUUCUAAAAUUUCUGAUAUUGGAUUUCACGUGAAGUUUAAAUGUCUGAAAAAUAUCUUAAAAAUGUCUUUGCAUGAAAAACCUAGGGUUGGGAAACUUACUUUGUAAAAGUAUCUAG